GAAGUACCUAUUAUGUAGCAACCCCCCGGCAUGACUUUAAUAAUCGCUGCUUAAAUAACAUUUUCACUGUCUCCUUACAAAUUAACCUCCGGGAGGUGUCGUUAAUGUCAGCGUGGGAGACUUUGCUGAGCGGCCUGGGGAUGAGGAGAGGCGGCGCCGUGACGGUCCCGAGACCCCCGGGCCGGGUGAUGCUGUGGACUCAGGUUUGGGGGGACCUGGGUCCAGGACGGCAGGCAAGUCACGCCCCCACCUGGGCCUCGCUCACCUGUCCCGUGAGGUGGAGAGGGUUUUCCAAAUCCCCACCCUCCUGGGGGCCCGGGCACUCUCACCGGAGACCCGGGUCAGGGUCAGAGUCAGUCACCGCCCCCCUGACCCCCGGCGGGGGCUCGUCCUCAGCAGAGAAACGGGGGCUCCUCCUGACCUGCGCUUCUCCCCCACCAGACGGAGGGCUGGACCCGUCUGCGCAUAGCAGGUGCUCAGCACACAGCAGGUGCUCAGCAAACGCUGGUGGGAGGGCCGGCCGGAUCCCACCGCACAGCGGCUUUAUAAGCUGCCUGGAGUCCCUUUCAGGACAAGGAGGUUUGAUAAGCAGACGGCCCCUCCCCGCUGUCCUCAGGGAGCCUGUCUGAGUCUCUCCAGGUGUCACUGCUUCCCUUUACUUCUCCGCAGUCUCGCGUCUGAGCCCCUCUGCCCCACCCCGCACCCCCGUGCGCCCCUCUCCUUCUAACAUCCGGGGCCUGAGACGGAGGGACAGCACGGGACGACCGCGUGACUGUGCGGGACGCGAGCGCCAGGGCUCUGACCAGGGGCCCAGGGGCUCUGCCCUGAGGAAGAGCGCCCGAGGCGGCAUCUCGUCUCCUGUCUCCACUGCCCGAACCUGCCAGUGACUGGGGUCAGCUCGUGGGUCUGGAAGACCUGGACGGUGACUCCCGGCCAGAAAAUUCACUUCGACCCUGCUGCUCCUGUGGCCUGAGGGCUAUUGGCACCUGUGAGCCGGGACUUUCUGCCUGCUUCCAGAAGUCUGCCUUCCUAAGUAGCCCAGCUCACUCGGGCUGUCUUCUCUCCGAAGCGUUGGAAACCACACCUAACUGGGUCCCACCUUCAGAUGUAAAGGACAGCCCUUGUCUGUGUCUGACCCUCCAACCGUUUGGGUGAGGCAACAGCCAACCCCCUCCUCCAAUUAGCCGUGGGGGGCGGGGGGCGAGGGGGGGUAAGACCAGCCUAAGAGGGAGGUGGGAGCUGAUCACAAAGGGCCUGAGCACCUUGCAGAUUGUGGACUCCAUCCCCAAAGCACCAAGGAGCAGACACGAGAGCCCACAGUCAGUGCUGUGUAGCCAGGCUGAGUCGGCUUAUCCAGGGGCUCAGGAACCUGGAGGUGACCCCUGGGGUGCCCAGGGAAUCACAUGACCAUGAGUUAGCUUGGGGUCCAUCACCGUAGGACCCUCCACCAGUUCCAGGACUUUCCUGCCUCCCAUCUCAGUUGAUGGUGUCGGGCAGGGAGAUCCAGUGACCAUCCCUGCUGGGCACCUGCCCGGCUCUGCCCGGCAGGACCAGCCUGGCUCAGACUCGUCUGCACCCCCUCUGCUCUCCCGGAGCAAGUCCAGACCCCCAGGGGGCAGCCCCAGCAGGGUCACCAGGAACUGGAUCGAGGGAUCCCUGCUCACCUUCCCAAGGCAGCCAAGGACACCCUCAAGGACACCAGCAACCAGACAGGCAGCUGCAUGGUUUGCUUCUGGUUUGCUCCGUUCUUCAAAUCGUCCCUAAGCAUUAACGAACCACUCUUAGAGAUCAAGGAAGAAGUUCUAAAACGAGAAGGAAAAUAGAGGUGGCUCCUAUGAAAAAGAUCAAUAAUUAAACAUGGACAUUUUAAAAUAUCCUUUUCAUAUGAUGCAUUAACCCCUGGUUAGAGCCAAUCCUUCAAUAGCUAAGUGAGUAGGGGGUUCUGAGUAUUUAAGGAACAAUGAACAGGGCUUCAGAGUCAAGCAGACCUGGGUUUGAGUGUGAGCUCGGCCACAUCCGUGGGUAGGUUGCACUUCACCUUCCAGACCUCCGACUCCCCAUCUCUGGAGCGGGAGGGGGCGUCUCUCUCACAGGUGUAAGUGCAAGAAUGUGGGUGCAACGUGGGGCCCUGGGAACAUUCCAGACGGGUCGCCGCUGUCAUUGACUGUGUGAGGAGCAGAGAUAAAGCAGGGGGCGUGCUGGGAGAGACGCUUCUCGCCUCUUGGUCCCCUUGGAAAUGUCCUCAGUGGACUGCUUCAGCCAGUGUGAUAAUCUCUUAUUCUCCUGACAAAACAAAGCUUGACUGCAGAAAGCUUUAUCACCAAAGAAGAAAAGAGGAAAAAAAAAAAAAAAAGAAGAAGACGCUCGCCCCGCAUUGUCCGUAGAAUCCGUUUCUUACACGAGGACCCUGGUUGCAAAGUGGGGAAGGCCGUCACUCGUCCUCCAUGCGUUGCCCCACAGUAAGGACCAGACGGGCGGUCUCGUUACGUCCCCACAGUGACUGUAGGGGGAUGCUAUCUCCCCGCUGGGCACACGGGGGAAAUUGAGACUCAGAGCAGUGACACCGCUUCAACAGCCCAACGGAUGUCACUGAGCACCAACCAUGAGACCCAGCAAUGAACAAAGUCCCUGACCCCAUGGAGACGGUGACGGGCUGGGGAACACAGAUCAUAAGGGAUGAAGAUACAGAAUGUGUCAGGCAGCGGCCUGGCCCCAGAUAGAAGUCAGUGAAACAGACAAGUCCUCCCUCCCGGAGCUCACGAUCCAGCCCAGGACCUGAUGUCUACAAGGUUCGCACAGAUAGGUUUGCAAGCUCCUCUUCGUCGGGGCCUUCUCUGCGGGAAUCUCGUAUAGCCUGAGCGGAGGAUGUGGGCAUACUGAAUUAUUCUGGAUUGGCUUUUUCAGAGGCUCCAGAAGUACCAUCAAGCUGGAUCCAACCAUGACUUAGUUCCUUGGCAUCUCUUUCCAGAAAUCAAACUUACAAGGUGAAUUAAAACUAUUACGACCUGGGAAGGUGCCGGCCCGUGUUUACAAAUUCCCAGGAGAACUCUGUGUUAUUAUAGCUCUACCCGGAGUCCAGAGACAGACAAGAUUCCUUUCCGUCCCCUACG